GAAGAGUUGGAGACAAAAGGUGAGGUUGAGGAGAUGGAAGAGGACAAAGAUGAAGGAGUGAGCAGGACGACCCCCGCUGCUUUGUGAUACGGGGCUUGAGGAGCUGUUAAAACGACCGCCUGGAACCAAGAGCCGCCCUGCUUACACAUCAGCGGGCCGCCAGAAUCACCCUGAACAGACGGGAAGCAUCAGUUAUUAUUUUCAUGUGACUCAAAGGAAGAGUUUGAUGCACCUUUGUUACCAGAAAACUUUGGACUAUGAUUACUAUAUUUACCUAAAACUAAACGACCACAUUUUAGAGAGUUAUAAUAAAAAACUGUUUGAGUCGAA